CACACAUCCAGCUGUUGUAUUCAAUAGCUUUUAUCUUUGUCUUCAUCUCUUCUGGCCAGGAAAUGUGAUUUGACAUUACUGACCCUUCCUUCUUGAAGCUCCAGCCUCUCUUGGCGCCUGCAGCAAAAUAAACUUUCUGCUUCUCCUAUCUCUCUACUCUUUUUCUCUUCACUGGGUUUCUUACUCUGCCCACUGCUUGCUAGUCUUCCAUAAUGCCUGCCCUCUUCUUCCUCUAUUCUGUCUAACUUGAAUGUCUUGUUCUCCCUCUCCUGCUUUGCUCUCACUUCUCUGCAGAAAACACCAAGUCUCCAUCCUUACAUC
rnacentral:lncRNA from 1 species